GAUGAACGCUAGCGGCAGGCCUAAUACAUGCAAGUCGAACGGGUGGUCGCAAGACCACUAGUGGCGCACGGGUGCGUAACGCGUAACCAACCUGCCCCGAUCUGGGGGAUAGCCCGCCGAAAGGCGGAUUAAUACCGCAUAUACCCGCAGCCUGGCAUCAGGCAACGGGGAAAGAUUUAUUGGAUCGGGAUGGGGUUGCGUGACAUUAGCUAGUUGGCGGGGUAAGGGCCCACCAAGGCGACGAUGUCUAGGGGACCUGAGAGGGUGAUCCCCCACACUGGCACUGAGAUACGGGCCAGACUCCUACGGGAGGCAGCAGUAGGGAAUAUUGGGCAAUGGGCGAGAGCCUGACCCAGCCAGGCCGCGUGGCGGAUGAAGGCCUUCUGGGUUGUAAACGGCUUUUCUCAGGGAAGAAAAAGACCUUGCGAGGUACACUGACGGUACCUGAGGAAUAAGCACCGGCUAACUCCGUG
rnacentral:rRNA from 1 species